CGAACGGGUGAGUAAUACAUAAGUAACCUGCCCUAGACAGGGGGAUAACUAUUGGAAACGAUAGCUAAGACCGCAUAGGUACGGACACUGCAUGGUGACCGUAUUAAAAGUGCCUCAAAGCACUGGUAGAGGAUGGACUUAUGGCGCAUUAGCUGGUUGGCGGGGUAACGGCCCACCAAGGCGACGAUGCGUAGCCGACCCGAGAGGGUGACCGGCCACAUUGGGACUGAGACACGGCCCAA
rnacentral:rRNA from 1 species